UUCUUAUUAGCUCAAUGGUAGAGCAGAAUACUUCUAAUAUUCCGAUCUUGGUUCAAUUCCGGGAUAAGAAA
rnacentral:tRNA from 1 species